rnacentral:lncRNA from 1 species
UCACUUUACGGAUCAACCUUCAACCUUCAAUUUUCAAAACUGAUGCAAAUCAUCUCGUGAAUUUCAAAAUCAGCACUCGAUUCAACACAUAUAUUCAGAUUUCAACAAUUUCUAUCAACAAUAGAAGCUGUUAUGCUGCAACAUUGUUUAGAAGCUAGAGGUGAAUUUGAGAUCGAUAAGAAUUAGGAGUUAGGGUUUCUGGUUGUUCGGUUAGGGUUUGACGACUUCAAAAGCAGAAUAUUCCGGCACCACGUCCGCCGCACCACCGUCGUAUACGCCGGUCCCAUUUCCGCUUCGGUAAUUUAGAUUCGUUGUUUUUUAUUUUCAAUUGUUUAGUAGUUAAAGGUGAAUUUGAGAUUGAUAAGAAUACUGAUGGUGACAUCUUUGGUUGAAGAUGAUGGUGAAGGUUGAAUCUGAUAGUUCUGUUCAUGGUUACCAGGUUUACUAGUUAAGGUUUAAUCAUAUACUUUGAAAUUUGUCCCAAGGUUUCAAAAGAUUGUGAUAGUGAUUAUUUUGGAAGUCACGGUAUAUUAGAUAUUUAAAUUAGUUACAUCUUUCAAGGUUGAAUAUGAUGGUGACAGUGAUAGUGUUGGAUGAGGUUGUAGAUGAUGGUGAGAGAGUGAGGUGGUGGUGGUGGUGGUGAAAGGUGGGGGUGGGGGUGGGGAAGACUAGGGAAGAUGAAGAGGGAGUGGUGGGUCUCACAAUUAAUUAUAUUUUUUUAAUUUUUAGUUAUUUAUUUAACAGUAAGGGUAUUUAGGUCAUUUCACACCCACUUAACAAUGAAAAAUAACUAAGUUAGGGAUAAAGGACAUAAUGUGUAGCGGUUUGCAAACAUCGAGUAUGUUUUUUGUACUUUUUGAAGAUAAAAGACACACUUUGCAAUCUAGUGUUAACAUAAAGGACGAUUUUGUAAUUUACUCUU